UACGUAGGGUGCAAGCGUUGUCCGGAAUUAUUGGGCGUAAAGAGCUCGUAGGCGGUUUGUCGCGUCGGCUGUGAAAUCUCGGGGCUUAACCCCGAGCCUGCAGUCGAUACGGGCAGACUUGAGUUCGGUAGGGGAGACUGGAAUUCCUGGUGUAGCGGUGAAAUGCGCAGAUAUCAGGAGGAACACCGGUGGCGAAGGCGGGUCUCUGGGCAACAACUGACGCUGAGGAGCGAAAGCGUGGGGAGCGAACAGG
rnacentral:rRNA from 1 species